AUCAUGCGAGAAAAAUCCAUGUUGAGCGAGUAAUUUAUUGUCGGGUUCGGCUUGCAGCAGUGACAAAAUUGGCGAAGCGAUAAAAGAAAACCAACAAACAGUGGAAAUGCUGAAUUGGACUUUAUCAUGGUUUCUCAUUUUACCCAUUCUCUAUCAGUGAAGAACUUGCCUUGGCUCAGUGAAGAAUUUUUAGAGUCUCCAUUUUCUCAAAGUUGUGAACCACUCCAUCGUCGUCACGGUAACCAUAGACAAUUGUAGGAAUACCCACCAGGAAACUCUGGGCCCACCACUUUAUAACUUAAACUUGAUUCUUUGGCAUGAAGGUCAACAGCAUCAACUUCUCCGGAGAACACUGCAUAAAGAAAAACAAUUUUAUAUAAUACUUUAUAGUUUUGAAAUAAAUAAAAAAAAAACCCAAGAAA